UACGUAGGGGGCUAGCGUUGUCCGGAUUUAUUGGGCGUAAAGAGCGCGUAGGCGGCCUGGUAGGUCUGCUGUGAAAACUCGAGGCUCAACCUCGAGAUGUCGGCGGAAACCAUCUGGCUAGAGUCCGGAAGAGGAGAGUGGAAUUCCUGGUGUAGCGGUGAAAUGCGCAGAUAUCAGGAAGAACACCUAUGGCGAAGGCAGCUCUCUGGGACGGUACUGACGCUGAGACGCGAAAAGCGUGGGGGAGCGAACAGG
rnacentral:rRNA from 1 species